rnacentral:lncRNA from 1 species
GGUGGUGAAGCUGGGAAAGGGUUCCAGGAUGGUGGAGCGAGAGCGAGUUGGUGAUGAAGCUAGCUGGCGGCUUGGCUUGUCAACUGCGCGGAGGAGGCGAGCAGGCAUUGUGGAGAGGAUAGAUAGCGGCUCCUAGACCAGCAUGCCAGUGUGCAAGAAAGGCUGCAGGGAGAGCAUGCGGUGCGGUAACAUUCCUUGAGGUCGGCAACAUGGUGGUGGUUUUCUGUAACUUGGAUGGUGACUUAAUGUAUCUUAAUAACUACUAUAGGAACAAAGGAAGUGGCUUUAAUGACCCUGAAGGAAUUUCUUCUGGUGAUAGCUUUUAUAUUAUCAAGUAAGAGAUACUAUCUCAGUUUUGUAUAAGCAAGUCUUUUUCCUAGUGUAGGAGAAAUGAUUUUCCUUGUGACUAAACAAGAUGUAAAGGUAUGCUUUUUUUCUUCUUGUGCAUUGUAUACUUGUGUUUAUUUGUAACUUAUAAUUUAAGAAUUAUGAUAAUUCAGCCUGAAUGUCUUUUAGAGGGUGGGCUUUUGUUGAUGAGGGAGGGGAAACCUUUUUUUUUCUGUAGACCUUUUUCAGAUAACACCAUCUGAGUCAUAACCAGCCUGGCAGUGUGAUGACGUAGAUGCAGAGGGAGCAGCUCCUUGGUGAAUGAGUGAUAAGUAAAGGCAGAAAAAAUAAUGUCAUGUCUCCAUGGGGAAUGAGCAUGAGCCAGAGAUUGUUCCUACUGAUGAAAAGCUGCAUAUGCAAAAAUUUAAGCAAAUGAAAGCAACCAGUAUAAAGUUAUGGCAAUACCUUUAAAAGUUAUGGCUUAUCUACCAAGCUUUAUCCACAAAAGUAAAGAAUUGAUGAAAAACAGUGAAGAUCAAAUGUUCAUCUCAAAACUGCUUUUACAAAAGCAGAAUAGAAAUGAAGUGAAAAUGCUGCAUUAAGCCUGGAGUAAAAAGAAGCUGAGCUUGUUGAGAUGAGUGGGAUCGAGCGGCUGCGAGGCGGUGCAGUGUGCCAAUGUUUCGUUUGCCUCAGACAGGUUUCUCUUCAUAAGCAGAAGAGUUGCUUCAUUCCAUCUCGGAGCAGGAAACAGCAGACUGCUGUUGACAGAUAAGUGUAACUUGGAUCUGCAGUAUUGCAUGUUAGGGAUAGAUAAGUGCCUUUUUUCUCUUUUUCCAAAAAGACCUGUAGAGCUGUUGAAUGUUUGCAGCUGGCCCCUCUUAGGCAGUUCAGAAUUUUGAGUAGUUUUCCCAUCCAGCCUCUUAAAAAUUCCUAAGCCUUGCACCGAUGGGCUUUCAUGAUGGGAUAGCUAAUAGGCUUUUGCAUCGUAAACUUCAACACAAAAGCCUACAUGAUUAAUGCCUACUUUAAUUACAUUGCUUACAAGAUUAAGGAAUCUUUAUCUUGAAGACCCCAUGAAAGGGAUCAUUAUGUGCUGAAAAUUAGAUGUUCAUAUUGCUAAAAUUUAAAUGUGCUCCAAUGUACUUGUGCUUAAAAUCAUUAAAUUAUACAAAUUAAUAAAAUACUUCACUAGAGAAUGUAUGUAUUUAGAAGGCUGUCUCCUUAUUUAAAUAAAGUCUUGUUUGUUGUCUGUA